ACGAACGCUGGCGGCGUGCCUAAUACAUGCAAGUCGAGCGAAGUUUUUCUGGUGCUUGCACUAGAAAAACUUAGCGGCGAACGGGUGAGUAACACGUAAAGAACCUGCCUCAUAGACUGGGACAACUAUUGGAAACGAUAGCUAAUACCGGAUAACAGUAUUUCUCGCAUGAGAGAUAUUUAAAAGUUGGUUAUGCUAACACUAUGAGAUGGCUUUGCGGUGCAUUAGCUAGUUGGUGGGGUAAAGGCCCACCAAGGCGACGAUGCAUAGCCGACCUGAGAGGGUGAUCGGCCACACUGGGACUGAGACACGGCCCAGACUCCUACGGGAGGCAGCAGUAGGGAAUCUUCCGCAAUGGGCGAAAGCCUGACGGAGCAACGCCGCGUGAGUGAAGAAGGAGUUCGGUUCGUAAAGCUCUGUUGUUAGGGAAGAAUGGAUAUGUAGUAACUAUACAUGUAAGAGACGGUACCUAACCAGAAAGCCACGGCUAACUACGUG
rnacentral:rRNA from 1 species